UACGUAGGUGGCGAGCGUUAUCCGGAAUUAUUGGGCGUAAAGCGCGCGCAGGCGGUUCCUUAAGUCUGAUGUGAAAGCCCACGGCUCAACCGUGGAGGGUCAUUGGAAACUGGGGAACUUGAGUGCAGAAGAGAAGAGCGGAAUUCCACGUGUAGCGGUGAAAUGCGUAGAGAUGUGGAGGAACACCAGUGGCGAAGGCGGCUCUUUGGUCUGUAACUGACGCUGAGGCGCGAAAGCGUGGGGAGCAAACAGG
rnacentral:rRNA from 2 species